GACGAACGCUGGCGGCGUGCUUAACACAUGCAAGUCGAACGGUAAGGCCCUGCCUUGUUGGUGUGCUCGAGUGGCGAACGGGUGAGUAACACGUGAGUAACCUGCCCUUGACUUUGGGAUAACUUCAGGAAACUGUGGCUAAUACCGGAUAGGAGCUCCUGCUGCAUGGUGUGGGUUUGAAAGUUGCGGCGGGUGGGGAUGGACUCGCGGCUGAGCAGCUUGUUGGUGGGGUAGUGGCUGACCCAGGCUUUGGCGGGUAGCCGGCCUGAGAGGGUGACCGGGCACAUUGGGACUGGGAUACGGGCCAGAGUCGUACGGGAGGAAGGAGUGGGGAAUAUUGCACAAUAGGCCGAAGCCGGAUGCAGGAACGCCGCGUGCGGGAUGACGGUCUUCGGGUUGUAACCAGCUUUCGCGUGUGACGAAGCGUGUGUGACGGUAACGUAUAAAGAAGCACCGGCUAACUACGUG
rnacentral:rRNA from 1 species